rnacentral:rRNA from 1 species
GCAAGUCGAACGAGAAACUUAUUUCGGUAAGUGGACAGUGGAAGACGGGUGAGUAACGCGUGGCAACCUAACCUUCACUACGGGAUAACAGUUGGAAACGACUGCUAAUACCGUAUACGUCCUCCGGGCGAAAGAUUUAUCGGUGAUGGAUGGGGCCGCGUUAGAUUAGCUAGUUGGUGAGGUAAUGGCUCACCAAGGCGACGAUCUAUAGCUGGUCUGAGAGGAUGAUC